AAUCAUAGACGGCAAAGAAAUGCAGUUUUGCCGUCAGUCAGAGUACAUGUUUGCCGUCAGCUAUUCACGUCUUUGCCGUUAGCCUCGUAUACCACAGACAGCAAAGAAGUUAAUUAAAAAAACACAACAGCAUUGCUCCCGAGCGAUGCGGUCAACUCAUGCGAGUGCAAAUCUUUCUUCUUCUUUUUUAACAGGGAAAGGCCAUCCGUGUGUAGUGCCAUUCAUUUAACGUUAUUGGAGUACAAAAUGCAAAUAUGAGCCCGAACCAAAACUAAAGUUACAGAGUAGUUCAGGAAAUUAACACAAAGGACCCUAACAAGUUAAACUGAAAAGCAAUCGGGUCCUUCUCCACUCCGGUGCUCUGCCCGCCCCGCUAUCCAGCCCGACGCUCGCCUUUCCUCUCUGCCAUGCUCUGCUCGCCGCUCCGCCGCCCGGCCCUGCUCAGCCGUGCAGCUCCGGCCCAGCCGCGCUCGGGAGCUGACUUGCUCCGGCGCCGCGGAGAGGCACGCGAGGGAGGUCGGGGAUGGCCGGUGCUCAACCGGCGGAGCGCCCGGCUGCUCUAGCGACGGAGCUUGCGAGGCGGAGCGCAGGACCGGCAGGUGAGGAGGAGCUCGGGGUGUGGACGGGUUCGGGUGCGCGGCUGGAGGAGCUGGGGUGGGCAAGGCCGACCGGUGAAGUCGAGCUGGCGAGGUAGAGCUUCACGCGGCGCUGGCGGUGUGGCGGACGGAUGGGCGGGAGGGCGCUGGGCGUGGCAGCGGACGGAAGGGGCUCGCCGUUGCUGGCCACGGCACGCGGCUGCUCGGGGACAAGAGGCGCUGGACGGGGGCGCCGGACGGGGGCGCUGGACGGGGGCGCCGGACGGGCAGGCGGCGCUGAACGGGGGCGCCGGACGGGCGGGCGGCGUUGGCCGGCGGCGUGUGGCUGCUCAGGGGAGAAGGAGGGAGGAGGGUGCUGGCACGGGGGAGAAGGAGGGAUGGCACGGCGGCGUGCUAAUGCUCGUGGAGAUGGAGAGAAUGAGAGAUGAGGGAGCACGGGGGAGAAGGAGGGAAUCGUGGGUGGGGCAGCCGGGCAGGUACGGGGUGGGGGCGCGUGCGUCGUGGGGUGGGUUGGGAUGGGAUGGGCGCGCACGACGGUCCUGAGUGGGCUGAGAUGUGUGUCUAAGAUGAUGCCAAGUCAUCAAUCCGUGUGCUCGAUCCGUGUGGUGUGCUUCUUCUUUGCCGUCUGCGGAAACAAAUACAGACAGCAAAGAGCUCAAUUUGCCAUCUGCGAAAAAACACAGACGGCGAAGAUUCUUUGCUGUCUACCAAAACAAACACAAACGGCAUAGAUGCUUUGCCGUCUGUGAUUUUUGUUGCAGACGGCAAAGUGAGCUAUUUGCCGUCUGUAUUUUGUUUCACAGACGGCAAAGUUUAUUCUGCCGUCAGUUUUUCUUUGCCGUCUGCCGAUGACGGCAAACACUUUCUUUGCCGUUUGCCCAACGAAAAGCUGACGGCAAAGACGACUCCUGACGGCAAAUUAGCUGUUUCCCGUAGUGAAAUUAUGUAUGUGUUCAUCAAUUCAUGAUAGUGCAGUGCAAAAAAGCAAACCCUAAGUCAAAAAAUAGGGGGUUUCAGUACCUUAAAUUUGAUUUGCACAUUUGCUAUGAAUCUGUGAUGCUACCGCUGGACGGCUGGAGACUUGCUGGUGAGCGGCACCUUCGACGGUCGUCGGUUUUGCAGGGAGGGCUGAGGGGGCGCAGGCAGUGGGCGGGCGGGCGGCAGGGCCAGGCGGCCACGGCUCCUGCUCGUCAAGGGGCGCGGGCGAGCGGUGGAGGCAGCGACGUCCUGGAGGGCAGCGAGGGGGAGGGGAGGCGGCCGGCGAGGAACAACGGCGCCGCGGCGGUGAGGGCGUGAGGCGAGGGCUUCGGGGCGUCCUCUCCUCUGCCUCGAUGUGGAAUGAGCAAAGUUUCAAAUCGCGGGCGAAAUUGGCGCUAUUGCUGCGCUAUCGCGGCUGGAGAGCCUUCCCGUACGCUAUGCCUAAUUUUCUGCGAUUUGCCGCUACCGCCGCGAUCGCUGCGCGAAACAACAAUAAGUGGCUUAGCUGUCGCUACAGUUUCGCUGGAGUGGCUGAGAUUCAUUUUUAACGGGCUGAAACAUAGGCCCGAAACAAAUCGUAGCCCAAAUUUCCUCUGAUAGAGCAGCAUGUCCAGAAACCUUAUCUUCAUUAAAUCCUCUCACUCCCAUCUAAAAAACUUGCGGUGGGUGCGGCUAGGUGGGCCGGUGUUUGCUUCGCCGCAAGCCGGAGUCAGCGACGAGCGAGGCGGCGACCAGGGCUCCGACAGGAGGCUGCAUACUCAGUAGCUCUAGUACUUUGUCUUUUUGCUGUUAUUGAUCCAUCCCAGUCGGUUUUCUGAUUCAGUAGGGAUGUUGUCUUUUUAUUUGCGGGGAGGAUAUUGACUCAUUUAUGACUGAAUUUAUACUGCCAAUCCUCUGUUUUCUGCUGAAAAUCCUCUGUUUUUUAGACAAAAACAUGCAUAUGUACUUUUGCCGCUAAAUGCCUUAGCGGCCGCUAUCGCCCGCUAUAGCGGCCCUAGCGUUUUGAUGAGCCAGCCGCGAAAUGCUUUUUCCUGCGAUCUUAAAGUUUGGGAACAAGAGCUCGUGGCCUCCUGGGCUAUGGCUGAACGACAGAACGAGGGCUGGCAAUGAUAUUGGGUCAUCUGUUUUUUUUGGCCCAGUUAAAUACCCAUGGUAGGCUGCUCCAAAAUCCCCUCAGCCCGUGCCCGACAUGGUUCAUUUAAUUCAUUAUUUAGCAUUUGAUAUGUGUUCUAUGCUCUAAUGUGUAGCCUUCUUCUCACGAUUUGGGUCUAGCUGUCGGUGGUCAUGAGUUCAUUACUUAUGUUAACUACUAUUGUUGUGUCCACUGGUUUGCCAAGAGACUAUAAAGUUAACUUAUAUCCUCCCGAAUUUAUAUUAAUAUAGUUGGCGGUGAGGUAAUCCUUGACCUUGAAUAUUACUCACAUUUGUCAAAUAGGAGGCCAAGCUGGAACUGUCUGGUGCAUCCUCUAUGGUCACAUAUGGUGUAUUGCCUAUUCUAAACCCAAUGAGUAUUACAUUAUGGCAUGUGCCUGCGAGGAGGAACGAGUUACUCUUUUAUGGCAUGUGCCUAUUCUAAACCCAAUGAGUAUCACAUUAUGGCAUGCCUAAUAAUUGUCAGUGAAAAAUUAAUAGCCUACAUCAGAAGUCUAACCCAAGAAAGUGAAUAUGUGCCAUUGUAACUUUCCAACACUAAGGGCCUGUUCUGAUCUCCUCCCGCUCCACGCUUCACUAAUUCCUGGAGCAGAUACGAGUCGAUCGAAAUAGCAGCGAGAAGCUAUCUCGAGGAAGCUAGGAUCGACCGCAGUGCAAAAUCGUGAAGCAGACUCGGCCCAGCUCCACCGAUCCGGAAAGCUGAAGUUAGCCAAUAUUAAAAGUGAACUGCCACCACCAAGUCAAACGAGCCGAACCGGUACGCUUGAUCUGUUUGAUCGCUCUUCGUUCCCUCACUCGUGCUCCCUCACUGCUCCUCUACAAGGCCGAUUUGGGCUGCCUCCAAUCGGACAAACUAGCCCGAACAAGCCACGACCCUUCUAGCUGGGUUGUAGUGCAGCGAGAAGUUGCAAACCGAGCCGAACAGAUUUUUCAUCGCUGCUUGGAGUGAGAAGCUACUCGGAAAAGUUGAAUUUCUGAAGUUUUGGGAAGCUAAAGGAGAUCAGAACAGGCCCUAAGUCAUCGGUAUUUCAUAAUUGAAUGUUCUCCAUGUCGUGACUUUUGAUGGUGUAAACCCAAAUAAUCGCCAUUGUGAAAUUAAAUUCCUCCCGUGAGUCGAACCCACAUCCGUAAAGAUGUGCCACUACAAUCCACCUCAUGGCUAUCUUGGAGUGCUCAGUAUAAUCAAGUGUGCCCAAUAUGGUGACUUAAUAUGUACUUAUUGACCCUAGGAAGCUAAUCGCCUCCAUCAAGACACCUUCCUGUUUCUCCUAUAACUAGAUUCCCCGAAACCACGAGAAUGCCUAGAAUGGGAUUACAACUUAGCACCUUUUGUUUUCAAAUGUUAAGAAGAGUUGCUCCUUGGAGAGCACGGUACGAUCAAAGUUGUAACCUGUGUUUCGGAGGGAGUUAUUGUCUUGAAACUUUGUUCUCAACUAUUCUGAUUCCAGCAAACAAAGGCCAUUGGGUCAAAGCUGUAGCGCACGCCCUGUAGUUUUCAAGUGGGGCGAGACAACUUUUGCUAGGAACCUAUUUUCAUUCUGACCAGCUCCCUGAAAACAAUGUUCGACUUCAUGUGUAGUCGGUGUAGAUGUGUCAUUGCAAUUCCACCACUAGGAUAUCACCAAUUCCUAUGUAUUACAUGACAACAUAUGCCACCAUAUGGUGACUUGAUAAAUUAAAUGGAUUUCACCAAGCUUUCCUGUUACAGUUAUAGUGAAGAUAGUGACUCACCUGUCAGCCUCCCCGGCGGGAAGCAAAAUCACUCUGACUUUGGCAACCUAAUUUUUGGUGGAUUCAAGCAAACAUGUUGGAUUUGUAUUUUAUUUAUUUCAACAUAUAUAAUUCAAAUAAAUGAAUCAAUUCAUACUAGGAGUCUUGGAGGCACCCAUGUCAAUAAUGUGAAAUUAUGGGAAAUCUUAUUAUGUGCAUCAACAUAAGCCAAAACUCGUGGCUUAAGAGAUAUGUGUACAAUCUUCCAAUGGUUAUGCCCCCCUACUAAAUUCAUGAUGUUAACCAGUUCCCAGAAGUUGAGAAAGAACUUUAGUCAUGGGAUCAAUGUCCAGUGCAUCAUAUUUCCAGUUCCCAAAAAAAUUUAUUAUGGAACGUUGAGAAAGAAGUUUGGGCAACAUAUUUCCAGACACCUGUCAUGUCUAGGAUCGUAUCAAGCCUAGGUAAGCUUAGUCAUGGGAUCAAUGCAGGCUAUUUGUACGCUGACCCGGUUCUUAACUCAAGUCCUCCUUGCUUGAUACAAUAUUGAAUGGAAAGUAUAUAAUCAAUUUACUUAAGUGGGUGAACAAUGUUGGCUAGUAUAUUUCAACACUCACCUCACAUGCAUCUUUUAGGGGCAUAUAAUGCAUCGUUAUGGAAACAUUUUUUCUAUAGACUAAAUUCCAAUGGAAAAUUUUAAUUAAUUUAAUUAGUAGCAAUCUCGUAUGGCAAGGAUAUAUGGCAAAUGAAAAUGAGGGCCCAAAUGCUACUUGUUGGCACACAAAAAUAAAGUUAUCUUUUUCCUCUCAUGUUGAUCCUCCGUGGUUCGACAUUGGGCAUUACAAAGAGAUCAAGUUAUCUUUACACACCGCUAGAGCUACCAGACCCCGGAUGUUCCACCAUGAAUGUCCAUAUGGUGCAAUGAGUGAUAGCGAGCUAUAUUAGAACAUAUAGUUUACACAGUUAAAGUAAUUAAAUGGGCUAUUUUGCCUACUAUGAAAAAUAUUAUUUCAAGAGAAAACUAUGUAAGAGUUUGUGAUCUUUGUAUGUAAAAGCAUUAUUUGCCUUUGCUUGGUGUUCAAGCAGUUUGAUUUAUGGCAAAAAUGGAAAAUCAUGGGACAAUAAUUGUUGAUAUUCUUUGCGGGAAAGCGAGAUGUUUUCACUUUUCAGCUCAAACAAAGUAUUGUUUUUCUUAUAGGGGUGAUAUACAGUGUUCGUGGACUUGUGAUUCGUUGUCCAUUUAAAUUUGGUUUCUUCCAUAGAUUAUGUUGGUUUGUUUCUGUAUUUAUAUCAGCACUAAAGUAUACUGAUGUUAGCUAAGUCCACUCAAAGGCCCAUGUUUUUAUCAUGUUAUGCAAAUUAGUAAGCUAAGAUCUUACCAAACUCAAGUUACAUAAGCCCAGACUACGUGAAAUACACAUCAUGCAGUACACAUGUUCAUCUUAGUGUUAUGUCAUACUUGGCUCCGAGAUAACAAAUGGUAUCAAUUAUUACUAUCUUUUGCAGCUUGUUUCUGCCUGUUCAUCCUAGAAUUAUGUUAUGUGGUCUCCCAAGGUUCAUGCAACUUGGAUUUUCAUACUUUGGUAGUAUUAGUGUUCACUAGGACUAGGUGCCACUCUAUAGAAGUUGAGGAUACAGAUGGAGAAAGUAGUCAUGGUUUUUAUUUUUCAAAUUGUUGGUUUAUAUCUAUAAGAGGUUUAUGAAUUUUCAGUUUAUGGUGUUGUGAAACCUAGAGUGUUUUAUCUCAUUUAACAUUGAACUACGCUUGCACGGAAAAACCUUAAUUUGACAUCGAACUAUGCAUGCAGGGCAAACACUCCGUGCAUCGGUGCCACCGCGCCGCGAACCCUGGGAGCUUGAACCUGGAUGGGUGUGAACUUAUGAUUGAUGUCAAGGUUAGGGGUCAGUCAUGGAUAGAGAAUAAAGGCGACUUUGCGAAACUGUUAUUAAUAAUAUGGAUGAACAUUGCCUUGUGCAGAGAAUAAGAUAUUUCCAGAGAUAUUUAUAAAUGGAUGCAUACUUGCAAUAGCAGUACAAAAUAUGAUGCUGACAUUUUAUUUUCAUUGUUGUUCCCAUUAAACUUCUGGUGAUGGCUCCAUUAUUCAAAGCCUCACACAUGAAAAUGUUAUUUCGUUCGAGUAAAUGUUGCGUGUCGUUGCUCCUGUAGUUUUGCGGUUUGCAUCUCCUUGUAACUUGUGAGUUGGAUUUUGGGAAGUUGCAAUGCAAAUUUGGGAUGCAGGGAAGAUAAUAAACAAUGCUUUCUAAGAACAUUGGAUAUUGGAUGCGACUCAGAAAGAACGCAUGCAAAUGCAAGAUGCAAGACGUAGUAGCCAAUGUCCAGGUUUAUUAAGAGCAUCUACACCGGACGCCUCAUAUCUGCCACAAUCGCCACGGCGUGCUGCCCGAUCUGUACUAGGAUGCAAAAUUGCCACCCAACAGGACCUGUAAAAUCCGGCCCAAAUGUAUAGACAUGACCGCACUCCCCAUACCCAGCCCAUAUCUCGGACGGAUAUGUGGAAGCCCAGAGGUGCCCGGACACACCCGCCAGGUAGGAUCCGGCCGACUGCGGCACACCCAACCCCACAUAAAUUGGACCCUAUCCGCACUCCGAGCGAAACCCAAGCCGCAUUCGACUCCACUCUACUCCUCGCCAGGCCACUCCCCUCCACCCACAAGCCCCAUUUGCGGAUCUCCCACCAUUUCGAGCCGUUGAACUGCUGAUCGUCCCACGCGGCCCCAAGGAGGAGAUGGUCGACUGCCUGGCGCUUCUCCACUACCGGAGGAGUCUGCCCGGCAGCGGUCGAAAUCCAUCUUGCGGGAAUCCAUUGCUUCUGCCACAAUGGUGCAUGGAUCCCGCCCGAGGGCAGUCGCCGCUGCCUCAGCAGAGGCAGUGCAGUCCGUCUGGUGUCCGAACGCCGUGGAGGAUAUGCAACCACUUUGUUGGCGCACUGAGAAAGAGAUGCACACCAGCUUAACGUCUGAUACAAAUAUGGUGUGGCGCAUCCAUCGUGUUAGGCAAUGGGCACGGGAGCACGUGGCUGCCCUCGUGCCAGACACCAGAGGGGUAGACUCGCACUCUUCGGUGCCUCGUAUCGUACCCGGCAGCCCUUGGCACCGAAAUCAUGUCGUGUUGGACGCGGCUGGCUCCACCAUGAUGGAUCAAUUAUCGACCUGGCAUCCACCGAUGACAGGCAGGGCACGGGCUCCAACGAGAAAGAGUAGGCCAUGGGAGAUGGCGCCGACUCGAGUUUCUUUUGCCGGGUCGUGUCCCAUGUCCUACUCUACCUCACCGGAGAACGACCCUCCACUUCGACAGGCUAAGACAGCCAACGGACAUGGACAGGGUUGGAACAACAAGGACAGUCGCUGGCGCAAAUUUAGACUACAGCCGUCGACGCGAGGUGAGCGCGGCACGAGUUAAUCGCUGAAGAGGUUGGGCCCUUCUGUCGCUCCUGGUCGUGCAGUAGCCGACGUAGUCCUCCAUGACCACUAGAUCGACGCCGCCACCACUGCAUGUCUAGGCGUCUCUGUAGUGGCUGAUGUCAUUAAAGUGUAUUUUCUUUGUAUUGUGAUGAUUGCAGACUGUGUUGCGUAUUGUGGCGUAUUUUCUUUGUAUUGUCAUGAUUGCAUACUGUACAAUUUAUUGUGGCAUAUUUUUUGUGGUCUAUCUUUAAAAAGAAAACUAUAAAUAGCUAAAAGUGAUGUGCAGAAUAAAUGUAUACCCGCCACUACAAAACAAAUGCCAGUACUGGCACAUAUUUUUGCCCGCCAUUAAUAGCAAUGCCUGCCACUACUACAAGAUUGAGGUCGAUGGCGGGCUGUUUGUAACGCCCGCCACUGUUAUAGUCAUCUGUGGGAGGUGGAGCGCCCGUCACUAAUGCCAUGUUGCUAGUGGCAGGCGCCUCUGAAAGCCUCACCCAUCAUUGCUAGGCUUUUGAUGCCGCCACUCCUACGCAUUCCUGUGGUAGUGUGCAAUUGCGUAUCUAGUAGAACAUAUACAACUAUCCUCCCAACAAGCAGUUUCGUCCUACCAUGAAGUUAUAGUCGCGUUGAAGACAUUCAUUUAUAAUCGAAAGUGACGUUGCAGUUGCAUAUCAAGUAGGAGAUAUUUAACUGCCUAAUGAAAAAACACUUUGUUCCCUAAGUUACAGUCGCGUUGGAGACAUGCAUUAGCGAAACGACACCACCUGUAGUUGCGUGUUUGGAGUUAGACAUGCAACUAGCUCCACAGUAAUAAUCUGAAUUUUAAGUUUUAAUGAAUUUUAAAUUAAAGAAAAAAAAUAAAAGAUGAAGAUAUAAAAACAGAAAUAGAGCAAACAAACAAUAGGAAAAAUCCUAAAAAAGGCAAAAACAAAGAAAGGAAAAACUUGUUUGAAGUUUCUAGAAGCUUCAUAAAACCAGUAGAAAGAGUCCUACAUGGGCCGGCCCACUCACACAUGUAAAAAGAGGCGGGCGAGGCAUAUGUCGACUAGCUCAGAGUUGGGGAAUCCUAUUCCGCGCAUAGGUCGCUACGUAGCGACCUAGCACGUACCCCUCGGGUUUGUGGUCCUCUUCGAGUCGGUCCAUUCCAGGUUCUUCCCCAUACCGGUUUUUAGGAAGGUUCCAGACCUUUUUUCUAUUUUCUUUGUUUUCUUCUAGUUUUUUCUUUCUUUUAUAUUUUAUAUAUUACUUCUUAUUUUCUUUUAUCUUAACUUUUCCUUUUUGGUGUUGCCAACAUAUUUUCAAAUUCAUAAACUUUUAUUGAAAUCAAGAACAGGUUUUGAGUUGACAAACAUAUAUCUGAAAUAAUAAACAUUUUCUAAUUUGACAAUACAUUUUGGAUUCACAAAAUAACAAAAAAAUUAAUUUUGAGAACAUUUUUUAAAAAAUUCUGAACAUUUUUGUCAAUCGGCCGACAUUUUUUGAAUCGAUGAACAUUUCUAUGAAUUGACAUAUGUUUUUUGAAUUGGCAAACAUUUUUUGAAUCGAUGACCAUUUUUUGAAUCAAUGAAUAUUUUUACAUGAAUGAACAUUUUUUGAAAUUCACAAUAAAAAAAUUUAUGAACAUUUAAAAAACUUGUUGAAUAGUGCUUGUAUCUCAAAUUCCGUCCUGAUUAAUUAAAGUGGUGAUACCUAUCAAAAGAAAAUAGCUACGGUUGGCACAAAAUUUACUGCAAAUUAAUCAUGUGAUGAAAGACUUAGACGUGACAUAGGUUUUUUAUGGACCCUGAUAAGUGCCACACGUCAGGGACGUUCUCAUGACAACAUUGAACAUUUUUAUGACAAGUUUAGUUGCACGAUGAUGGCAAAUUUAAUUGAAAAUCAUGAAAACUUUCGUUAUUUAUCUUAUUUUGAUAGAAACUUGUCGUGUGUCACUGGAAUUUGCGAUCCUUGGAUGACAAUAAUAUCCAUCAAAAAAGUCAGACCCAAAGUGCCAAGCACCUGACGUGUAAGACCUAUCAUUUGGAUACUUUAUACCUAAGAUAUUAUUUACCAAAACCAUAGCUGAGACAUUUUCCCCAAUGCAGGCGGGGCCGAUGAAAAGUCGAACCCCUUGCCAACCUACUCAAAAUGUGUACACGGUCUCCCUUCGUCCCGAAAUACUUGUCGGAGAAAUGGAUAUAUCUAGAUGUAUUUUAGUUCUAGAUAGAUCCAUUUUUAUGCAUUUCUACGACAAUUAUUUCCAGACGGAAGGAGUAGUAAGUAUAUAUUUGUUUCUAAAUAUAAAUAAAUUACUAUUAAAUACUACUAUACCAAAGAUAUAAGAACAUUAAAUACAAGUAUACCAAAGAUAUACCUAAAUAUAAGAAUAUUUAAUACUAGUAUACCGAAGAUAUUCUACAGUUAAAUUCUAUUAACUCUGUUCCAAAAUAUAAGAAUAUUACUAUAAAAUACUAUUAGUUGUGUUCAAAUAAUUAGUAAUAGAGAUAAUAUUCUUUAGUAGUGAUAUAUCUUUAUUGCUCAUUAAAUAUAAGAAUAUUACUAGUAUUAAAUACUAGAAUCCUAAAGAUAUAUCUAAUA
rnacentral:lncRNA from 1 species